rnacentral:rRNA from 1 species
CAGUAGCCGCGGGAAUACGGAGGGUGCAAGCGUUAAUCGGAAUUACUGGGCGUAAAGCGCACGCAGGCGGUUUGUUAAGUCAGAUGUGAAAUCCCCGGGCUCAACCUGGGAACUGCAUUUGAAACUGGCAAGCUAGAGUCUCGUAGAGGGGGGUAGAAUUCCAGGUGUAGCGGUGAAAUGCGUAGAGAUCUGGAGGAAUACCGGUGGCGAAGGCGGCCCCCUGGACGAAGACUGACGCUCAGGUGCGAAAGCGUGGGGAGCAAACAGGAUUAGAUACCAGUAGUCCCUGUCUCUUAUACAC